CCGGAAGGGACCCUGAGCGAUCUAAUCUACCCUCAGAUGCCGCAGGAGGUUAAAUGUGAAUGGACUUACAAAACAUAGUGACAGAAAAAGCAUCUCCAAGUAUGCUCUCUGGAGUUAGAAGCGGAGAUGCAGCCCCACUUUGCAGGAGUAUAAAGAGCUCCCAGCCAGUGCUCAAGCCUUGGAGAAAGAAACAUUUCUGAAUAACAUAUUCUCAAUGUUGUUGACACUUGAAAUAAAUUUUGAAGAGUAAGGAAAAGUUAUUGAGAUAAGGACGAACAGGAAGAAAUUCUGGAAGGAAGGAACAGCUCAUUUGCUUGGAGAUUUCCACACCUGUGUGUGCCAUCAUGAUUGGGCCUUGCUCAUCUCUAUCAUGUGCUCAUCUCUGUCAGCAUUUUCAGAAAUGGGACUCAAAUGCACUCAUUGUUUUUGAGUUUGGGAAGCUCACUGCAGACUUGAGGGCUUGUUGGGAGAGACUACAUCGUCCACUCUGGGCCUCCUGCCCACUUGGGGCCAGUGUGCCUAUCCCUUGCAUGUUGCUGCCUCCUGAAGCCCUGUCCCAUCUUCCACCUCCCAUGGAAACUGAAGACUGAGGACUGGAAUUGGAUCACAGGGCCAUAGGAAGAAGGUUGGUGGGGGAGGUGGCCCAUAGUCAGGCAACACUGUGCAAGCAGCUCAUUAGCUUUGUCUGGACUCUGCACUUACGUGGUGACGCAUCCCCACGUUGCCUUCUCCUUUCUUGAUGUCUUUGCCUAUGGUAUUUUGUUUCUUCUGCACCAUCUCUCAUCCACGCUCUCCUGAAAUCACACUCGUGACAUUGUCGCCAAUCACGGCAUCACCUCUGAAACCCCAACUCCAAGCCCCAUGCUGUCUGAGCACCAACCAAUGGUCUCCACUGUCCUCACUCCUGAAAUUCAUUGACAUUCCUGAGCCCCGUUGGACCCUUCUACUUUCUCACCAUCACCAGGCUAGAUAAACUGGCCCCUCCUACCUCUUCUUUCUUUACCCUGCUCUCCCUGUUCCUACCUCACUGGCCUCUCUCAUAUCCUGUGAUGCAUCUAACUUGUCUCACUUUAAGGUCUUCAUUCUUGAUGUCUUCCUUACCCAGAAUGUUCUCCCUGUAUUUGUUUUGUUGUUGUUGCUGGAAAACAAUUUUAAAUGACCAAUUAACUAUCAAUUCAUGCAUUAAUUAAUGUGUAAUUAAUUAUUAAUUCACCAAUUAAUGAACUAAUGUGCUAUUUAUAAAAUGCACAUAAUGUUUAAAGAACAACAGGCUCGGCGCCCAUAGCUCAGUGAUCAGAGCACCGGCCACAUACACCAGGGCUGGCUGGUUCGAAACCAGCCUGGGCCUGCUUGACAACAAUGACAACUGCAACAAAAAAAGAGCUGGGCGUUGUGGCGGGCACCUGUAGUCCCAUCUACUUGGGAGGCUGAGGCAAGAGAAUCACUUAAGCCCAAGAGUUUGAAGUUGCUGUGAGCUGUGAUGCCAUGGCACUCUACCCUGGGUGAGGUAGUAUGACUAUCUCAAAAAAAAAAGGAACAACAACAAACAUAUUUUAAUUCAUGGACCUGCUAAUCCUUUCAGUCAUUUGCCAUGGACCCUGUGAGCUCAUCCCUAAUCCCAGCACCUCUCUUACCCCAUCUGAGAUAAACAGCCUGCGUUUUGUGUUUGGGCCUUCUCUUGCUUUUCUUUAUAAUUUUACCAUAUUUGUUUGUAUCUAUAAACAAUACAAUGUUUGGAUUACAUGUUAAUAAAUUCCCACCACCUCUGCCACUUUUUCACUCUGCUUUGUGUUCCUAGGGUUCAUUACGUGGUUGAGUGAAGGUGUAAUUCACACAUCAAAAUACCAAAAUGCAAUUAUCUGUUGGACUGUUGAUAGACAUUUGAGGUCUUCUAGUUUUUCUAGUUUCUAUUUUCAAAACAAAAUACAUUUUCUGAAAUAUACCUCCUAUUACACAUGUAAAAAUGUUUCUCUAGGUUGUAUAACUAGGUAUGGACUUGUAGGUUCUAGGAUAAAUUUUUCUAGGUAACAUAAAGAUGCUUUCAAAGCGGUUGUAUAAUUUGCAUUCUCAUCAACAGUGAAAGAGAAUUCCUAUUUCUCUAUAUCUUUGCCAAUAUUUAGUAUCACCUAACUUUUUAACUUUUGCCAAUAUGCAUGAAAUCUUGAGCUCUAAUUUGCAUUUUGCUUAUGCUAUGCCCUGAUUUCUGCAGGACUGGCUCCUUCUUGUCAUUCAAAUUUGAGCUUAAACACUGAAGUCAUCUUGUCACUCUUAACUAUAUUACUCUAUUUUAAUUCUCACUAUCAGAUAUUUUCCUUCCUUUCUGAAAAAAAUAAGUGUAUUUUUCUGUUUUAGUGUUUCCUACACUGGGCUUAUAUGUGGUAACUGCUUGAUAGAUACUGAAUAUUUGUUAAAUGAAUGAAUGCGUGAACUCCAAUUCUGUUCAGAUCAAGAUUUGCUGAUUAAUGGCCCCAUCUUUCUUUCUUGUUUGUAUAUGUUCUGUCUUUCAUUUUGCUUUCAGUUUCCUCUCAUACAUCCUCUGCCGUCUCUGUCUCCAAUAAUGUACACUUUUCUGUUUGUUUUCAGUCUUGCUAACUUCUUUCUUCUUAGGAGGUCUCUCUCUCUCUUGUUUCUACUUUUGUUGCCAAUCCCCAAUCUUCAGGAGACCUUACUUGAAAAUCUUUUUUAAAUCAGCUUUUUAAUUUAUUCACCUUUGUACCCCCGCCUUCCUCCCACUUUGCCUGACACCUUCUGGACCAAGGUCAAUCAGAGGCUGUCUGGACUCUAGAAGGUGUGUUUUUAAGCUUGCAAGCGAAUCUAGAUAAAAUAUCCCAGGCACCACCAUUUGGUGUGCAGUGAAGAAGUGGACUUGCUGAUUGAUCUCUCUGUGGUGGACCCUACAACUGCACAGAAGCUGAGCCGGCAGCUAGCUUCAUGCUUAAAUGUGAAUGAAUAGGGAGGAUCAUCAGACAUUUGUGGAUAGUUUUAAAAAUGGGAAUUAGGAAAAUAAAAGAACAGGAAAAAAAGAAAAUGUAGAAAACAGAUCAUGAUAAAAAUGAAAAAAAAUUAAAAUUAAUAUAUAUUUUUUCAUUUUCUUUUUUUAAUUAAUUAAAAUUAAUAUUUUAUGGUGGAGGAAGGAGGAUGUGUCUAUAAAAGGAUAGUAUGAGGGAGAUCUUUGUGGUGAUGUGAUCCAGAAGCAUACAUACACAUUGCACCAGUGUCAAUUUCCUGAUGUUGAUAUUGUAAGUACAGAAGACUCAGCCAUUGGGAGUACUAUCUUUGUAAUUUCUUGCAAAUCUUUUAAAUUAUUUAAAUAAAGGUAAAACAAUUAGUAUCCUCAGAAGAUGUUAUAUCCAGAACAAGAAUGGUAUACUAUAAAAAAUAAUCAAAAGAAAAAAGAUUUCUUUGAGAUUAAAAAUGGGAAACUUCCAAAAAAUGAAAGUGAAAGACAAUAUUGAA